rnacentral:rRNA from 1 species
UGGGGAAUAUUGGACAAUGGGCGCAAGCCUGAUCCAGCCAUGCCGCGUGUGGGAAGAAGGCCCUAGGGUUGUAAAGCUCUUUUACCAGGGAUGAUAAUGACAGUACCUGGAGAAUAAGCUCCGGCUAACUCCGUGCCAGCAGCCGCGGUAAUACGGAGGGAGCUAGCGUUGUUCGGAAUUACUGGGCGUAAAGCGUACGUAGGCGGUUAUUCAAGUCAGAGGUGAAAGCCCGGGGCUCAACCCCGGAACGGCCUUUGAAACUAGGUAGCUAGAAUCUUGGAGAGGUCAGUGGAAUUCCGAGUGUAGAGGUGAAAUUCGUAGAUAUUAGGAAGAACACCAGUGGCGAAGGCGGCCAACUGGCUCGAUACUGACGCUGAGGUGCGAAAGCGUGUGGAGCAAACAGGAUUAGAUACCCAAGUAGUCCCUGAGCGGGCUGGCAAGGCGCAU